AGAACGAACGCUGGCGGCAGGCCUCAAACAUGCAAGUCUAGGUGGUGUAGCAAUACAUCACCGGCGGACGGGUGCGUAACACGUGGGAAUAUACCUUUUGGUUCGGAACAACGCAGGGAAACUUGCGCUAAUACCGAAUGUGCCCUUACGGGGAAAGAUUUAUCGCCAAAGGAUUAGCCCGCGUAGGAUUAGCUAGUUGGUGAGGUAAUGGCUCACCAAGGCUCCGAUCCUUAGCUGUUCUGAGAGGAAGAUCAGCCACACUGGGACUGAGACACGGCCCAGACUCCUACGGGAGGCAGCAGUUGGGAAUCUUGGACAAUGGGGGAAACCCUGAUCCAGCCAUGCCGCGUGAGUGAUGAAGGCCUUCGGGUUGUAAAACUCUUUCGACGGGACGAUAAUGACGGUACCUGUAGAAGAAGCUCCGGCUAACUUCGUGCCAGCAGCCGC
rnacentral:rRNA from 1 species